ensembl:misc_RNA Metazoa_SRP Metazoan signal recognition particle RNA
GCCAGGCGUGGUGGCGUGCACCUGUAAUCCCAGCUACUUGGGAGGCUGAGGCAGGAGAAUCACUUGAACCCAGGAGGCGGAGGUUGCAGUGAGCCAAGAUUGCGCCACUGCAUUCCAGCCUGGGUGACAGAGCGAGACUCUGUCUCAU